GACGGAAGGUGCAAGCGUUGCUCGGAAUCACUGGGCGUAAAGGGUGCGUAGGCGGCUGUGCAAGUCUGGCGUGAAAGCCCCGGGCUCAACCUGGGAAUGGCAUUUGGGACUGCAAGGCUUGAGUGCGGCAGAGGAGACUGGAAUUCCUGGUGUAGCAGUGAAAUGCGUAGAUAUCAGGAGGAAUACCGAUGGCGAAGGCAGGUCUCUGGGCUGACACUGACGCUCAUGCACGAAAGCGUGGGGAGCAAACCGG
rnacentral:rRNA from 1 species